rnacentral:tRNA from 1 species
AGUCCCGUGGUGUAGCGGUCAAGCAUAGAGGCCUUUGGAGCCUUUGACGGAGGUUCGAAUCCUCCCGGGACUA